rnacentral:lncRNA from 1 species
ACUGGACUCAGCACUGGCACAGAGGCAGCACAGCUAUGUGGGAAGAACACAGGCUGGUCUGCAGGUGUCUAGAUUUGGAUCCUAGCUCUGUUACUUACUACUUUGUGACUUUGAGCAAAUUCACGUCUCUGAAAGGAAACUGAGAUUCAGUGAGACAAGGACAUUUGUUCAAAUAAAUCUCGUAACUCUGAAGAGGCCUGGAUCUGAGAAGAAUGGGUGCCAGGUAGUCUGACUGGGCUAGUUUUGCCCCAUCAUGGCCCUGUGACAUCCGUUCUGCCUCCCAGCUAGACUGGACUCCCCCAGACCAGGAACUGUGUCCUGGCUCUUCCUAGCACCCAGCUCAGGGAGGGCUAUCAAGGCUGCUGAAAGCAGCUCAGUGAAUGUCAGUCUCUGAGCAGAUGGGAAGAACUGAGGAUGAAUUUGUCCACUUAAAUGGGAAUGGAAGCUUAAGAAUCAAGAUAUUUGAAGAUAAGGGAAACUGAGGUACAGAGGAGGGGAAGAGCCAUGAUUGACUUCAUGCAACUCAUCAGGGAGGGCACCCAGAUUUACACGUGGAUCUGUGUCACUACAAAGCAGUGCCCUUGACUUAACACUCCAUCACUUUCCAUACAAGCUUCAAACUGAACUCCACCUUCAUUAGCUUGGUGAGCGCAGACCGCUGAACUCUUCUAACAUCUGUCUUAGAGGUUAUGUGUUGGCUGCUGCGUUCAGAGCUAUCCUAAAAGUAACUGAAACAAGGGAUUUUUGACUCCAUGGCUAAACAGUUUCUGGGGAGCAGACCUUGAUUCUACCAUUACUUAGAAAACAAAUCAAAUUAGAGUCAGACUAGUGAUGUUGUCAGAACUUUUCAAACAUAAAGACCCAUGAAUGGACAUGUACACUUGGGAUCAAAAGCACUCUCCUCUUCCAAACAGCAGUCUACACUUGGCCUUUUGAGAGGCUGAGCUAUUGCCAAGGACUAUUUAGAUGGAAGAUUUGAUUGUUGGUCAAGGAGACACUGAAGAAGAGAUAAGAUGGUGUACUGGAAUGGAAGGAAGGCUCUGGACAUCAGAACUUUGGGCCACUGUACUGCUGUGUAAAUUUGCGAAACCUACUUAAUCCUUAUGGACUGUUUCCUCAUCUGGAAAAUGAGUUAAAUGAGAUCCAUUUUAUAAAAUUGUUGUAAUGAUUAUAUAAGUAAACACAUAGUAAUAUUAUUUGAUUUUAUUAUUAUUAUUAUGACUUGUCACUCAAAGCAUUUAGCUUUGGUGUCUCUAAUAUUCAGUACUCACAUUUAUGUUCAAAUUUGGAUGCUAGGUAGAAAUGAAGACUUUGUAUCUGCCACCAGAGAAGGCUAUUUAUUAUUUGUCAUUGCCUGUCACGAACUCACAAAGAUAGUAUUUGCCUAUCCAAAGGUAUCUAAUUCCUCAGUUUCUUAUGUGACUAUAAAGGGGCCUACUUUGAUCUUACCAUGAACUCAAAUCCUUUCGAAAUUUCAAUUUGUC